ACGCCUUGACAUAAUAUGCUGGAAGAAAAUUAGGUGAAAAUUUACAAAAGCAUAAUAUGCGCCCUGUCUUCGUUUACAGAAGAUAUUCGCAAUACUUUAAAAAUGUGAAAAGAAUUGCCUGGUUUAUUUACUAUAGUGUAUAGUUUAAGAUUAUAAAUUUAAAAUGUCUACAACUGAAAGUAACGAGCAAAUAGAAUAUAUUAUAGGAGAAGUAAUUAAUCGACUUAAUGAUAUCUUACGAACAUCACUUCUGAUAAUAUUUGCAGCUCUUGCAGUGCUCAUCGUUUCCGUCUUUUAUUUAUUGAAACCAUUAUGUCAAAUCCGAACAUCUGGAUCAGUAACACAGGUUAGAAGUUGUCCAUGUUUCGAGGCAAUUUUGUCAAAUCAGGAAUCCUAUAAGACAAUUACUCAU